GAUCCUGGCUCAGGAUGAACGCUAGCUACAGGCUUAACACAUGCAAGUCGAGGGGGCGAGCAUGGUCUUAGCUUGCUAAGACUGAUGGCGACCGGGCGCACGGGUGAGCAACACGUAUCCAACCUGCCGUCUACUCUUGGACAGCCUUCUGAAAAGGAAGAUUAAUACAAGAUGGCAUCAUGAGUCCGCAUGUUCACAUGAUUAAAGGUAUUCCGGUAGACGAUGGGGG
rnacentral:rRNA from 1 species